UUAGGCCCCUUUGAGCUAGCUUUUGGGGUGAGUUAGGUCUGGCCCAAAUUUAACAUGGUAUCAGAGCCUCCCCAUCCGAUGUUGGGCCUCCCAUAAAUGUGUCACGCACCAGUAAAAAUUCUGGGCGUGAGGGGGUGUGUUGAAUCCCACAUUGGUUGUGGAAAGGGGUAAUGUGCCCCUUAUAUGGGCCAUAGGCACUCCUCCCCCUUGAGCUAGCUUUUGGAGUGAGUUAGGUCUGACUCAAAUUUAACAAUAAGUAGAAGAGAAAGCUAAUUUUGUGCCACAAGCGGAACUGAAAAACAUUUCCUAAAUAACUUGGUAGUGAUGUGUCCCUUCCUUUUUCUUGAUUCCCAAGGGUGAUUCUCUUGGCAGCUUUAGCUCUUCUAGUGUAUACCCAAUAUGCCCUUGGAGUUGUAUCUGGAUUCCUAUCAUUGCCACCUCCUUAAGAAGCAGCCUUGUCCUCAAGGCUAAAAUGAGGAAACUGAGCACAGAUAUUAGCUUCGUUCACCCAUGUUGCAUUUUCUUCGGUUUGACCUUGCCGCUGGACUAGAAUUUGCGAAAUUGAUUGGUUGUUUUGUUGAAGGGUCCUCCUUUGGCAUUCAAGUAGUGGCUCCUCUUUGAUCUCCAAGGUCUCGGGAAGGUGUUCCAUAACAAAGGAUCCCCACUGCUUUCUUUAAUUGAGAAACAUGGAAAACAUGAUAGAUUUUUUAUGAUGGAGGUAGCUUCAAUUUAUAGGCUACAACUCCCACUUUACUGAUUACCUCAAAAGGACCGAAGUAAUGGGCUGCAAGCUUGGCAUUGAUACAAUUAGCUGUCGAUUGCUAUCUAUAGGGUCGGAGCUUGAGAAAAACCUUGUCUCCAACUGAAAAUUGAAUCUCUCGCCUAUGUUUAUUGGCGUACUUCACCAUCAGCUGUUGUGCCCUUAGGAGGCUGUGGCGUAGCUGUCUUGAAACAUCAUCUCUAUCCGAUAAAUGUUGGGACAAUGCCUCAACACAAGUUUCCCCUGGUAAAUAAUGUUAUAAAACAAGAGGUGUUUUGCCAUAGACAACUUUGAAAGGUGUUUUCUUGGUUGGCCCAUGGAAAUUGGUGUUGUGCCAGUACUUUGCCCAACAAAGCCAUUUUGACCAAUUUCUAGGCUGCUCGGAGGAGAAACAACGUAGGUAACACUCUAGGCUGCAGUUUAUGACCUCUGUUUGGCCGUUAGUCUGAGGGUGAUAGGAUGAACUAAAAGAGAGCGCGGAUCCUUGUAACUUGAACAGUUUAGUCCAGAAAUGGCUUAAGAAAACUAGGUCUCUAUCACUGACAAUAGUUUUUGGUCAACCUCUCUUAUAAAUACCUCCACCACUUUAGAUGUCGUGAAUGGAUGUCUCAAAGUAAUGAAAUGAGCAUACUUAGACAACCUAUACACCACUACUAGUACUAAUAUGCAAUCUGCCCCCUUUGACCUUUGUAAUCCCGAUAUGAAAUAUAAUGAGAUGUCUUCCCAAAUGUUGUGAGGGAUGGGCAACGGUUGGAGCAGCCCGCCAGGAGACUUCGUCUCAUGUUUAUGGGUUUGACAUAUCAAGUAGGCAGCAACAAAUUGCUUGAUUGAAUUCAUCAUUCCUGGCCAGAAGAAGUUCUCGGCAAUUCGCUUGUAAGUUCUAAAGGCUCCUGACAGAAGUAAUAUGGAAUUUCGCAAUAAGUGUGGGUAUCCACUUAGAAGAGGAAGGAAGUGCUAAUCUGCCUUUGUAGAAGAGGUGGCCAUGGAUAAGGGAAUAGUGAGUGUGACGAUGAGUUGGUGUAGACAAUGUUGAGAUAAUUCUAGAUAAUUGUGGGUCUUGUUCAAUCUCAGCCUGAAUUUCAUCCAAUCCAUACAUUCAUCCCAAUCCAUCCCUUGGGCUCUCGAUACUACCUGAACUUCCAUUUCUUCAUUGCAUCGUGACAAUGCGUUUGUUGUCUUAUUUGUUUUACCAGCCUUGUAUUCAAUUAUAAAAUCAUACCCCAUAAUUUUUGCCGCCCAAUAUUGCUCUGCCGGUGUUGAAACCUCUUGGUGUAGCAGAUGUCGCAGACUUUGUUGAUCGGUUCGCACCGUGAACCUUCUGCCAAUCAAAUAGGGGCGCCAAUGUCGAAUGGCCAGAACCAGAGCCAUUACGUCAUUCUUAUAAGCUUAUCUGGAUAAGGUGAGGUCGCUGGUGGCUUUACUGAAAAAAGCCAAGGGUUGAAUUUGUUGCAUCAGCACGCCCCCAUACCUGAAUUGAAGCGUUUGUUUCAACUACAAAUUCCUUGGAGAAAUCCGGCAUAGCCAAAACUGGGGAUGAGGUGACUGCUGAUUUCAAGUGUUCAAAGGACUCUUGUGCUUUUGGAGUCCACACAAAGGCCCCCUGUGAUUCUUUCUUUAGUAAUUCAGUCAACGGCUGAGCAAUUUGUCCAUAUCCAGCGAUAAAAUGCCAAUAGUACCCUUUUAGACCCAAGAAUCCUCUAACACCCUUAACAUUAGUGGGCGUAGGCCAGUUACAAGCCCGAGCAGAGGAAAUUCUGCUAAUACAAUGGAUUAGAAAAGAUGUCCCGCUCUCCUCAUACAUACUAUUUAUACUGACAUUUCCUAACUAACUUGGUGAUGAUGUGUCCCUUCCUUUUUCUUGAUUCCCAAGAGUGAUUCUCUUGGCAGCUUUACCUCUUCUAGUGUAUACCCAAUAUGCCCCUAGAGUUGUAGCUGGAUUCCUAUCACAUUUCUCCCUUCCAAUUAGAAUCUUUGAGAGCUUCCUUCUAAUUCCACAGGAUUAGACAUAGAGAAAAUAGAUAAGACAAAGGCCCUAUAGGAUGGAGAUAAAGAAUCAUAAGAGAGAGAGUUAGAAAUAGAGUGUUUUAUGUAAGACCUAACUCUUUUUCUUUGAACAAUUGGUUUAUUUAGAUUAUCAAUGAGCUCAUGGUUUAGAGUUGACUCACCAGACGGAGAAGAGGAAGAUUCAUGACACUGAGUAGGUUGCACAAUGACUUUCUGCUUCUGUUGUAUAUUUUCUUCAAUAUCUUCUUAAAUUUGAUUUAUCCAAACGACUAAUUAUCUUUUCCUAAUCACCAAUAGUUUUCCCUAUACAGUAGUCUCUUCUUGAAUAAAACGCUCUAAAGUUAAAAUUAUAGGAUAAGGAAUCAUCCGUUCUCUCUCAUUGUCCUUCCCCUGAAAAGUUGAUGGGAUAGUAUUGAAAUAAGGUUCAGUCUCUCUCUAAACGUAACAUCCAUACUGACAAAAUAUUUUUUAGAUGGAAGGUAGUAAAUACUUUUUCUGUAUUUCACCACCUUCUUCAGCCAUGUUAUUUGAAUUCAUAGGAUUACUGCUGCUUCCAGAAGACCUGUCAAUUUCUUUCCCUUGAGUAGGGCUAAAAAAUUCCUGCAAUUGUUUCGACAAAUUUUGCAAUUGUGCUUCCAAACGUGCUUCAGAUUGCUGCACUCUAGCCUCCAUUUUUGUCUUUGCCUGCGCCACUCUUGCUUCUGUCAGUAAUUGCGCUUUUUAGAAUAGGGAUUUGAGUUCUUCUCUUGGAUCUCCCAUGACAAUCAGUAACGGUACCAAUUUGUUAUGCUCACAAGCUAAAGAUCUAGUCACUGGAUGAUUGAUGGAGAAAUCACUUCCUUCGCUAGUCUCCUUGUUUUGUUCCGGUUACGUCCUCACCUUGCUGACCCUAUGAUGCUAUGAUGCUGAAUUAAUAGAAAUAGGAGCUCGGUAGAGGGAGUUUUUGACAUCUCAAGACUUUUUAGAAGGAAUCUCAAUUCACAAGUGAUUUGUAAAUAAUUUAGCUG
rnacentral:lncRNA from 1 species